ensembl:lincRNA
CUCUGGUGUCAUCAAGAAACAUGGUGGAGGGAGACAUGAAGACUUUAGAGGCAGGAACCACUGCAGAAAUAUCAGGAGAUGGGGAGACAGAGGAAAGAAAGGAGAGAUCUGUGGAUCCCGUGAGCACCCCAAAUUGGAACCACUCCUUACCGUGUCUCAAGGAAGCAACAGACCUCCAAACUGCAUGGUGUACCUCAAAAGAGCAAGACCCAAGCAAAAAGAAUGCUGCCCGAUUUCCUGACAUUAACAAUGAACACAGCCAGACUCAAGAGGAGGAAGCUACUGGGACCACGGCAGUCAAGGAAACACCAUCAACACCCAGUCUUCCUCCCACAUUACUCAGAGACUUUUAUCUUUGCCAUCCCUAAACACAUUCCUGCAGGUCUCCAGAUCCCUUCCAGCCCAUCUUAGAUAAAACUGUGCAGGAAAAAUGUGCUUCUAAUAUAGAGGUUUCCAUUUGGACACCUUGUAUUUGAAUCACAACUCAAACUUUUUUAAUGCCACCCUCUGUUUCCCUACUGGAUCUUAAAGACAAUUGGCACUGAAGCAUAAUAAAAUAAUCAAUUAUGUCUCAUCUAUGCUAUGCUAUUUGAGAGCAUUUCCCU